rnacentral:lncRNA from 1 species
GAAGGUUUUGGUAGAGGUGGAAAAUCAAGUUUUGGAAACUGAGGUAUGUUUGACUCUAGAAGAUUUCGUGCCCCGGCAACCCUUGUGUUACCAUUUGUUGAAAAUAAAGCUAGAAGCAUAAAUGGAAAAAUGAAUUUUGAUAAAUUGAUGGAAGCCAUCGUUUGAUCAAGCUGAUGAGAAGAACUUCAAAUUGAUGCUAUUUGCAAAUUAUUUUGAUAUGCUUUGUAGUAUGUU